GUUUUGUACAUAUAUGGUCAUGAUUUGGAGACUUAUGAGGAAGGCCAAAGUGGAUUGGGUGUGGUCUCGGUGUAGCACGAUGGAAUCUGGUGGCUUAAACCUAGCUGUCCACAUUUCACUAUCUGAAGAGCAGAAAAUGUGUUAAUAGGAGCCUGGUGAGUGGAGGAGACUGAAGAUGGAGAGAGAGCCUGGACCUCAACAUGAGCAUUUGGAGCCAUUUGGCAGCAUUAGGCUGUGACCGCUUAGAGAACCGAAAGGUGCAGAGCUUUAAAGGAUUAUGGAGUCUGAAGACCAAAUGGGAUGAUGGAGAACAGCUAUUCAGUGGUACAAAUGUAAAUGCUCCCAGGCCCGGGCAGAAAAGAGAAAACAUUUCCAUGGAAGAGGAAACAGGAAAUUCCAACAGAUCAGCAACAGUUGGAGUGCUAACCUGUCACUGGAAUGAAAAAAAAUGCUGUCGUUGACACAUCUUUUCCUUGUUUUUGACACAAAUUAGGUAACUCACUGACUUACUGUCUCUUCACAAAAUUGGUGGGGGUGUGAAAAAUGUCUAUGCAGUAUAUAAAGAUAUUCAUAACAAAGACUUAUGCUACGAAAAAUGUCCUUUGUUCACAAUAGAAAGAAUAACUCAUGCUUUACAUAAUUUGCACAUAUAUAUUUUGUUGUUGUAAA